CCUCUGCAUGCCCUGAAUCAAGUAAACCUGCCCCUUCUUUCAUGUUCCCCGUGUCAGUAAAUGGCAACUCAAUCAUUCCCAUUGUUUGGACCAAAAUUUCAAAAUUUCUCUUUCACACUUAAUAGCUAAACCAUCAGCAAAUUCUUUCAAAUCUUGUCCUCAAAUGUAUAUACAGACUCUAAUCCGAUCGCAACCAUCCUAGUUUACUUCAGCUCAUCAUCCCCUCUUUCCCUGGAUUAUUGCAGUAGCUCCUGUAUCAAUCAGGUUCACUGCAGUAAUCCUGCAUAAAAAUUAUUCCUCCAAUCUCAGUAGCUUUCAAUGCAAUUUAUUUCAUGCUCAUUGGUCUACAAGUCUGCUGUGGCUUUGCUAUCGUUGGCUGGGCUUUGCAGGGUCAUCCUGGCUUGAUUGUAGGCUGCUGUUCAGGUUCAGGUUUGCUCCAUAUCUCUCGUUCUGAGGCCCAGGCUUAAGGGCACUGAUUGCUCACAGUAUUCUUUUGGCAGAAGCACAAAAGGGCUGGAAGAAAUUUGCUGGGUCUUUUAAGGCUUUGCCUCCCCACUGGUACAGAGUCACUUUUCACUCACAUUCCAUUGACUACAGCAAGUCAAAUAGCCAAAUCCAGUGAUGGUGGCCUGGGGAAAUCUUAUGGGGAGGACAGUAGGGUGAAUAUUUGCUGAAUAAUAAUCUACCACAGCCUCCUAAUUGCUCUUCCUGUUCUUUCUCUUGUGCUUUUCAGUCUGUUUUCAACAUAGAAUACAGAAUGUUCCUUUUAAAACACACCAAGAUCCUUCUGUGCGAAAAACCCAUCAAUGACUGCUCAUUUCCCUCAGAGUCUAUACAGCAGUCUACAAAGCCUUAGUCACUCCUGCAUCUGGUCACUUUUCUGGCUUCAUGUUCUACUAUUGCCUCCUUCCUCUCUGAGUAUCAUUAACACAGGCCUCUUUCUUUGCUAAGCUGGAACAGGCCAGGCAAAUUCCUGUCUCAGGCCUUUGCAGUUGCAAUGUACAUAUCUGAAACAUUAUUCUGCCCCCCCCCACCCCCAGUUGUCUCUCAUGCUGUUCAGAUCUCUGCUCAAAUGUGACCUUAGUGAGGUCUUCCAAGAGUACCUUAUUUGUAAUUUCAAACUUUUUGAUACUUUCUGGCCCUCUUCUUUGCAUUACUUUUCUCCAGAGCACUUACUAUACUUUGUUUUAUUUAUUGUCUGUCUCCUCCCACUAAAAUGUGAUAUCCAGCUGUCCCUUCCUCCACAGAUCCUCAUUCCACUGCCAACUUUCAAAGUACUAAUGAAUAAGGAAUCUCAUUGGUUUCCUUUUAAGGGGCAUCAAAAUUCUGGUUCCAUGU
rnacentral:lncRNA from 10 species